AUGAGAUGGGUCCGGCAGAGCUUCGGGAAGGGGCUUGAAUUCGUGGCACUGAUCAGCAGCGAUGGAGGUUACACCUUCUAUGGGGCCUCGCCCGCAGGGCUCCGGGCGGCCGUGACCCUGCUGGAGUGCGGGGGGGACCUCCAGCCCCCCGGGGGGUCCCUGACUCUGCUCUGCCGCGGGAAUGGAUUUGAUUUUGGGAGUUACGGAAUGGGCUGGAUGCGGCAGAGCCCCCGGAAAGUGCUGGAAUACGUUGCAAGUAUCAACAGCAAUGGUGGCACCACCUACUACGCGCCCUCGGUGCGGGGCCGGUUCACGAUCUCCAGGGACAACGGGCAGAGCUCGGUGAUGCUGACCAUGAACAACCUCAAGGAUGAGGAUUCCGCCGUUUAUUUCUGUGCCAAACAUGCUUAUAGUGGGCCGGGUCUGGAUCUCCAGGCCGAGGAUUCCGGCGCCAAUUUCUGUGCCCAACGGCACAAUGGUGCUGGUGCUGGUUAUGCUGGUGCUGCUUCUGUCCCACCCCAGCUGCUCUGA